rnacentral:lncRNA from 1 species
CGGGGAUUGAUUAGAAGUUGCUUUAAUAUUUCCGAUAGGACUAGGUAGUACUUCAGGCGUUUACUGUUUCUUUUUAUUUUUAUUAUUAUUUUUUUUUCUCGUUUUUUUUCAGGCACUGCAUACGAUGGCAACUAUUGAGCAAAUUCAAUUUCAAAUGUUGGAUAUGAUGCAGCAGAUGUUAACAGAGAUGUCUAGUAUGAAGACAACUGUUAAUACAAGAAUGACCAAUUUGGAGUUCCAAGUGGGUCAUAUUGAAAAAAAUUUCUCAGCACUGUCCAAGCAAGUGCAGAUGUUGGAGACUCAAAUUGGUCAGAUUGCCAACCAAGCAGCCGCGCAGCACAAGUCGAGCCAAUUCCCGAGCAACACUACUGUCAAUCCAAAGGGCAAAU